rnacentral:rRNA from 1 species
AUUAGUGGCGAACGGGUGAGUAACACGUGAGCAACCUGCCCCUGACUCUGGGAUAAGCGCUGGAAACGGCGUCUAAUACUGGAUAUGAGCUCCUGCCGCAUGGUGGGGGUUGGAAAGAUUUUUUGGUUGGGGAUGGGCUCGCGGCCUAUCAGCUUGUUGGUGAGGUAAUGGCUCACCAAGGCGUCGACGGGUAGCCGGCCUGAGAGGGUGACCGGCCACACUGGGACUGAGACACGGCCCAGACUCCUACGGGAGGCAGCAGUGGGGAAUAUUGCACAAUGGGCGGAAGCCUGAUGCAGCAACGCCGCGUGAGGGAUGACGGCCUUCGGGUUGUAAACCUCUUUUAGCAGGGAAGAAGCGAGAGUGACGGUACCUGCAGAAAAAGCACCGGCUAACUACGUGCCAGCAGCCGCGGUAAUACGUAGGGUGCAAGCGUUAUCCGGAAUUAUUGGGCGUAAAGAGCUCGUAGGCGGUUUGUCGCGUCUGCUGUGAAAUCCCGAGGCUCAACCUCGGGUCUGCAGUGGGUACGGGCAGACUAGAGUGCGGUAGGGGAGAUUGGAAUUCCUGGUGUAGCGGUGGAAUGCGCAGAUAUCAGGAGGAACACCGAUGGCGAAGGCAGAUCUCUGGGCCGUAACUGACGC